UUGUAGCCCAGGCUAGCUUGGACUCAUUGUGUAACUGAAGCUGACCUUCAACCCCUGCUCCUGAUUCCUUUGUUCCUGAGGGCUGGAAUUAUUGGAAGUGGGCAAACACCUCCCCGAUCCUCCGCCACUGCCGGAACAUUCCGUUCAGCAGCACAAGGACAAGCAACCAGGAACGGAAGCCUCAGAAAUGGGAACAAAGUGGAAUAUGGCUGAAGCAUCAUGACAAAAGGGUCUGACUCCAGCUUGAAUCAGCACAAAACUGCAACGGUGCUUAGGGGCACUCAGUUUGAUCUACUGUCAUAAGCUUUCCUGUAUUACAGCCUAAAAGCAGGCUGGGCCUGCUCCACACACCUGGGAAUGGAAUUGUUUGCCUUUAUACCAAUAAAAUUCAGGAAGACGCCAAGACUGUACAUGGUUUAUGCCCAGACAGAUGCUGAAGAGCUUGUGCUGAGACAUCUAAAGUCCUCACUAGAUUGCCUAAGACAAAAUCAAGCAUUCCAGUGGGGCUGCCGUGGCUCCGUGUGGGCUAAGAUGGGUCUGAGAUGGAACCAAAUGUCCUUUCCCUGUGGAGAAACGUGAAGGUGCUGAAGGCACAAGCCAGCGUCAGAAAUCUAAAUAAGCUAAACCAGCAACACUCGAAAGAAGCUAAGUAACAAAAACUGGAGUCUUGUUCUGUGCAGAACAAGGCCAGCAGGAUGGCUCUGUGAGACCGGCAACCUGAGUUUCACCCCUGGAGCCCACUCCACAAAGGGAUCACCUGCUGUAUACAUGCUAUGGCACAGGCAUCUCUUCCGUCACGCA